UGGGGAAUUUUGGACAAUGGGGGAAACCCUGAUCCAGCCAUCCCGCGUGUGCGAUGAAGGCCUUCGGGUUGUAAAGCACUUUUGGCAGGAAAGAAACGUCGCGGGUUAAUACCCCGCGAAACUGACGGUACCUGCAGAAUAAGCACCGGCUAACUACGUGCCAGCAGCCGCGGUAAUACGUAGGGUGCAAGCGUUAAUCGGAAUUACUGGGCGUAAAGCGUGCGCAGGCGGUUCGGAAAGAAAGAUGUGAAAUCCCAGAGCUUAACUUUGGAACUGCAUUUUUAACUACCGGGCUAGAGUGUGUCAGAGGGAGGUGGAAUUCCGCGUGUAGCAGUGAAAUGCGUAGAUAUGCGGAGGAACACCGAUGGCGAAGGCAGCCUCCUGGGAUAACACUGACGCUCAUGCACGAAAGCGUGGGGAGCAAACAGGAUUAGAUACCCUGGUAGUCCACGCCCUAAACGAUGUCAACUAGCUGUUGGGGCCUUCGGGCCUUGGUAGCGCAGCUAACGCGUGAAGUUGACCGCCUGGGGAGUACGGUCGCAAGAUUAAAACUUAAAUGAAUUGGCGGGGGUCAU
rnacentral:rRNA from 1 species